rnacentral:rRNA from 1 species
CACAGUACCGGGUAACCGGUAUGGGUGGCGAGUGGCGUACGGGUGAGUAAUACGUAGGAAUCUGCCUCAGAGUGGGGGGUAACCCGGGGAAACCCGGGCUAAUACCGCAUAAUCUCUUCGGAGCAAAGGGGGGUCGUAAGAUCUUUCGCUUUGAGAUGAGCCUACGUCGGAUUAGCUAGUUGGUAGGGUAAAGGCCUACCAAGGUGACGAUCCGUAGCUGGUCUGAGAGGACGGCCAGCCACACUGGGACUGAGACACGGCCCAGACUCCUACGGGAGGCAGCAGUGGGGAAUCUUGGACAAUGGGCGAAAGCCUGAUCCAGCAAUGCCGCGUGUGUGAAGAAGGCCUUCGGGUUGUAAAGCACUUUCGGUGGGGAAGAAAUGCUCAAGGCUAAUACCCUUGAGAGUUGACGUUACCCACAGAAGAAGCACUGGCAAACUCUGUGCCAGCAGCCGCGGUAAUACAGAGAGUGCAAGCGUUAAUCGGAAUCACUGGGCGUAAAGCGCAUGUAGGUGGAUAUUUAAGUCGGAUGUGAAAUCCCUGGGCUUAACCUAGGAAUUGCAUUCGAUACUGGAUAUCUCGAGUAUGGUAGAGGGAAGUGGAAUUUCCGGUGUAGCGGUGAAAUGCGUAGAUAUCGGAAAGAACAUCAGUGGCGAAGGCGGCUUCCUGGACCAAUACUGACACUGAAGUGCGAAAGCGUGGGGAGCAAACAGGAUUAGAUACCCUGGUAGUCCACGCCCUAAACGAUGAGAACUAGACGUUAGAGAAGCAAUUCUUUAGUGUCGAAGCUAACGCGUUAAGUUCUCCGCCUGGGGAGUACGGCCGCAAGGUUGAAACUCAAAAGAAUUGACGGGGGCCCGCACAAGCGGUGGAGCAUGUGGUUCAAUUCGAUGCAACGCGAAGAACCUUACCUACUCUUGACAUCCUAGGAAUCCUUCAGAGAUGAGGGAGUGCCUUCGGGAACCUAGAGACAGGUGCUGCAUGGCUGUCGUCAGCUCGUGUCGUGAGAUGUUGGGUUAAGUCCCGUAACGAGCGCAACCCUCGCCCUUAGUUGCCAUCAGGUAAAGCUGGGAACUCUAAGGGGACUGCCGGUGAUAAACCGGAGGAAGGUGGGGAUGAGGUCAAGUCAUCAUGGCCCUUACGAGUAGGGCAACACACGUGCUACAAUGGGAAGUACAGAGGGUCGCCAACCCGCGAGGGGGAGCUAAUCCCAGAAAACUUCCCGUAGUUCGGAUUGGAGUCUGCAACUCGACUCCAUGAAGCCGGAAUCGCUAGUAAUCGCGAAUCAGAAUGUCGCGGUGAUACGUUCUCGGGCCAUUGCACACACCG